rnacentral:rRNA from 1 species
UGAGGGAUAUUGGUCAAUGGGCGCAAGCCUGAACCAGCGACGCCGCGUGGGUGAAGAAGGUCUUCGGAUCGUAAAGCCCUUUUCCCACUGAAGAGGAAGGACGGUAGGUGGGGAAGAAGUCUCGGCUAACUACGUGCCAGCAGCCGCGGUAAAACGUAGGAGACAAGCGUUAUCCGGAGUUACUGGGCGUAAAGAGUGCGUAGGCGGUUUUCUAAGUUCGGUGUGAAAUCUCCCGGCUUAACUGGGAGGGUGCGCCGAAGACUGGGAAGCUGGAGUGUGGGAAAGGCAGGCGGAAUUCCUGGUGUAGCGGUGAAAUGCGUAGAUAUCAGGAGGAACACCGGCGGUGUAGACGGCUUGCUAGACCAUAACUGACGCUGAGGCACGAAAGCGUGGGUAGCAAACA